rnacentral:lncRNA from 13 species
GGGAUACUGAAUAUGUCAGUUCCUGCACAAACCAUUAAAAAACUCUCUUCGUAGUUCCUUCUUCUGAAAAUUAGUGCUUUGUGGUAAGUAUAGUUUCAUGAAACCCAAGUCAAAAUUUUAAGAUUCCUUACUUCUGACGUGAAGCCCUAUAUUCUUAUUUUUAACAAGAUAUCUAGGUGAAUCUGCAAAUAGACCAGAUUGGUCACCACUCUUCCAGUACCUUUCAGCACAGCAAAUCUGAUGCAACUCUCCUGAAACUGUACAGAAGAAGCUACCAAAAAUCCAGCCAAAAUGAUUGCAGUCCUUGCUUUGCAGAUUUUCAACAGGAACUUCUUUCUCCUGUCACUGUGUGAAGAAGGAUGCAUUUUCUUCCUCUUCUGCCAUGAUUGGCCAUCAUCUGAGGAAUUCUAUUUCCUAUUUGAAAUCAAGCAUCCUGACUCCUUCUUGGCCCCCUCCUCUUAUCCCCUCAUCCUCAGCAACAAACGAGAGAGAUGGUCUUAUGGGAAGAUAAAAAGAAUAGUUGAUCAUAAGAACUAACCUGGAGCCAACACAUUGGCCGUUCGUCCCUUCAGCACUUUCUAAACCCUAAGCACCUGCAGCUAAUUCUCCUGACUUCCAGCCCUGGCCUUAGAGAUGCUGAGGUACAAGCUCUGUACCGGCACUUUCUCUGCCUCGUAAAAUUUUUACAUUUACCUGAGAAAAGUGACCUCUCUUAUGCAAGUGGCAUUCCCUUUAAUAAAGGUAGUAAGAGCUCAUUACA